rnacentral:rRNA from 1 species
UUGCCUCAGUAACGGCGAGUGAAGCGGCAAUAGCUCAAAUUUGAAAUCUGGCAUCAGCCCGAAUUGUAAUUUGUAGAGGAUGCUUCGGCUUACGUUUUGGUCUAAGUUCCUUGGAACAGGACGUCACAGAGGGUGAGAAUCCCGUUUGUGGCCAUAACUUCCGCCAUGUGAAGCUCCUUCGACGAGUCGAGUUGUUUGGGAAUGCAGCUCUAAAUGGGAGGUAUGUUUCUUCUAAAGCUAAAUACCGGCCAGAGACCGAUAGCGCACAAGUAGAGUGAUCGAAAGAUGAAAAGCACUUUGGAAAGAGAGUUAAAAAGUACGUGAAAUUGUUGAAAGGGAAGCGCUUGCAACCAGACUUGCCCGUAGUUGCUCAACCGGUCCUUCGGCCGGUGCACUCUUCUGCGGUCAGGCCAGCAUCAGUUCGGGUGGUUGGAUAAAGGCCUUGAGAAUGUAGCUCUCUUCGGGGAGUGUUAUAGCUCUUGGUGCAAUACAGCCUGCCUGGACUGAGGCCCGCGCUUCGGCUAGGAUGCUGGCGUAAUGGUUGUAAGCGGCCCGUCUUGAAACACGGACCAAGGAGUCUAACAUCUAUGCGAGUGUUUGGGUGUCAAACCCGUGCGCGUAAUGAAAGUGAACGGAGGUGGGAACUUUUUGUGCACCAUCGACCGAUCCUGAUGUCUUCGGAUGGAUUUGAGUAAGAGCAUAGCUGUUGGGACCCGAAAGAUGGUGAACUAUGCCUGAAUAGGGUGAAGCCAGAGGAAACUCUGGUGGAGGCUCGCAGCGGUUCUGACGUGCAAAUCGAUCGUCAAAUUUGGGUAUAGGGGCGAAAGACUAAUCGA